UUACACACAGAACAAAGUCACUCAGAAGUGUAAUACUACAGGCUGGAAGAUUGUAGUAGACUUCUACAGUAGACCUCACUACAAUUCUCUUUACACUAAGAUGGCUGUAGUCUAAAAGAAAAAGUGACCUAUGGUGUGUAGUACUACGGGUAAAAAAAGCAAGACUGUAAAGUGGGCCUUGGUCUAGAACAGCUUUAUUGUACAGACAGAAGCUACAGACAAGUACAUCUUUUAUUGGAUGAAUGAGAUAUCUUAUACAUAAGCCUCUACCCCAGCUCUCAAUACUUUUCCAUGAUAUGAAGACCUAUUGGCAGAUUGACACGAGGGUAGGGACGAGAAAGUGAUCAGAUUUGUUAUGUGUAGUAAGUUCAAGUCGGGUUGUACAGAGUGAGAAAUAAGGAUGUAACAUUACAAGUCAUGUACAAGGGGUGAUUAUUAAGUGGCGGGCAUAAUUAUGUGGAUGAUGCCUUUUAUCAAAAUUCAAAUCAUUGUGAUCAUUAUUUGCAGGCGACACCCAGUAAUGUCGGGAAAAAUCUUAACAUAGAUAAUUGACCUAAGGUGUGUGGGUCUGCUGAAAGUCAGAUACCUACUUGUACUACUUUCUAUUUGAGAUAAGAAGGCAAUCCUCAUCAAACAUUUUGACAAUGUCUUCUUAUAUUUCAUGGCAUAAGGAACAUGUCCUACACAGCUAGUGAAAAAAUGACAUUCAUGGAGGUACAUGUAAUAGUAACUAUGAGUUGUGUUGAAUUGUGCGCUUUAUUAGGUUAGGUCAAAAACUUACUGAUCACCCCUCAUACAAAUGUAUGUUUGCUAUGUCAUAAUGGUAUUGUGGAAGCAGGAUUGUCAACAUUUUCAUUUGAAAUGUAUCAAGGUUGUACAGAAAUGGAAGGGGACUUCUAGUGCUUGCUAACUUCACAUUGUUAUGUAGCUGCAACAUUUCAUUGUGAAAUUUCAGCAUUGACAGAAGGAUAUUGAAUGAAAUUAAAAGUGAAGUUGGUUGGUUAAGUCUUACUGUUGGGGCUCCAUCUUUUUUGUUCAAGCACUUAUCUAUGUCAGGAGUGGCCAGCCAACAAUAUAGCCCUUUACCUGUAUGUACUCUUUUUUUCUAAUGCUAAUGUUACUUGUACACAUACACGAAUGGGGAAGGGCAACUUGGUAUCCUACAUUGUGCAGUUACUGAAAAUUUUCAAAUCUCAUGUUACAAGUGUUCAUAUUGGACAAUGAAUUGUAUCCCGAUGUUAUAUUCAGAAGUCUGGAAUGACCAUUAGUAAAGGUUUAAGCCCUAAAGCCCUGUUUUUACAGUUUGUACAUUGCCUUUUGUCUUUGAAGUCUUCAGAUUGAAUAAUACAAUAGCUAUGG